AUUGAACGCUGGCGGCAGGCCUAACACAUGCAAGUCGAACGAGUGGCGGACGGGGGAGUAAUGUCUGUGAAACCGCCUGAUGGAGGGGGAUAACUACUGGAAACGGUAGCUAAUACCACAUACCAUCAGAGGUGCCCAGAUGGGAUUGGCUAGUUGUUUGGGUAACGGCUCACCAAGGCGACGAUCCCUAGCUGGUCUGAGAGGAUGACCAGCCACACUGGAACUGAGACACGGUCCAGACUCCUACGGGAGGCAGCAGUGGGGAAUAUUGCACAAUGGGCGCAAGCCUGAUGCAGCCAUGCAGCGUGUAUGAAGAAGGCCUUCGGGUUGUAAAGUACUUUCAGCGGGGAGGCGUUACCCGCAGAAGAAGCACCGGCUAACUCCGUGCCAGCAGCCGCGGUAAUUC
rnacentral:rRNA from 1 species